GUGUGUGAUUCUCACCGAUGGGGUUGGUGGAGGUCUCCUUGCCCUGCUGGUGUUGGCGGUAGUGUGUGUGUGUGUGUGUGUGUGAUUCUCACCGAUGGGGUUGGUGGAGGUCUCCUUGCCCUGCUGGUGUUGGCGGUAGUGUGUGUGUGUGUGUGUGAUUCUCACCGAUCGGGUUGGUGGAGGUCUCCUUGCCCUGCUGGUGUUGGCGGUAGUGUGUGUGUGUGUGUGUGUGUGAUUCUCACCGAUCGGGUUGGUGGAGGUCUCCUUGCCCUGCUGGUGUUGGCGGUAGUGUGUGUGUGUGUGUGUGUGGUGAUUCUCACCGAUGGGGUUGGUGGAGGUCUCCUUGC